AAAAAAGGUAAGCUACUAAGAGCGAAUGGUGGAUGCCUUGACUGGUAAAGGCGAUGAAGGACGUACUAGACUGCGAUAAGCUACGGGGAGCUGUCAAGAAGCUUUGAUCCGUAGAUUUCCGAAUGGGGCAACCCAAUGUAUAGAGAUAUACAUUACCUAUAUAGGAGCGAACGAGGGGAAUUGAAACAUCUUAGUACCCUCAGGAAAAGAAAUCAAUAGAGAUUGCGUCAGUAGCGGCGAGCGAAAGCGUAAGAGGGCAAACCCAGUGCUUGCACUGGGGGUUGUAGGACUGCAAUGUGCAAGAGGUGAGUUUAGCAGAACAUUCUGGAAAGUAUAGCCAUAGAGGGUGAUAGUCCCGUAUGCGAAAAACAAACCUUAGCUAGCAGUAUCCUGAGUAGGGCGGGACACGAGAAAUCCUGUCUGAAGCUGGGUCGACCACGAUCCAACCCUAAAUACUAAUACCAGAUCGAUAGUGCACAAGUACCGUGAGGGAAAGGUGAAAAGAACUGAGGUGAUCAGAGUGAAAUAGAACCUGAAACCAUUUGCUUACAAUCAUUCAGAGCACUAUGUAGCAAUACAGUGUGAUGGACUGCCUUUUGCAUAAUGAGCCUGCGAGUUGUGGUGUCUGGCAAGGUUAAGCAAACGCGAAGCCGUAGCGAAAGCGAGUCUGAAUAGGGCGCUUAGUCAGAUGCUGCAGACCCGAAACGAAGUGAUCUAUCCAUGAGCAAGUUGAAGCUAGUGUAAGAACUAGUGGAGGACUGAACCCAUAGGCGUUGAAAAGCCCCGGGAUGACUUGUGGAUAGGGGUGAAAGGCCAAUCAAACUUCGUGAUAGCUGGUUCUCUCCGAAAUAUAUUUAGGUAUAGCGUUGUGUCGUAAUAUAAGGGGGUAGAGCACUGAAUGGGCUAGGGCAUACACCAAUGUACCAAACCCUAUCAAACUCCGAAUACCUUAUAUGUAAUCACAGCAGUCAGGCGGCGAGUGAUAAAAUCCGUCGUCAAGAGGGAAACAACCCAGACUACCAGCUAAGGUCCCUAAAUCUUACUUAAGUGGAAAACGAUGUGAAGUUACUUAAACAACCAGGAGGUUGGCUUAGAAGCAGCCAUCCUUUAAAGAAAGCGUAAUAGCUCACUGGUCUAGUGAUUUUGCGCGGAAAAUAUAACGGGGCUAAAGUAAGUACCGAAGCUGUAGACUUGAUUUUAUCAAGUGGUAGGAGAGCGUUCUAUUUGCGCCGAAGGUAUACCGGUAAGGAGUGCUGGAGCGAAUAGAAGUGAGCAUGCAGGCAUGAGUAGCGAUAAUUAAUGUGAGAAUCAUUAACGCCGUAAACCCAAGGUUUCCUACGCGAUGCUCGUCAUCGUAGGGUUAGUCGGGUCCUAAGUCGAGUCCGAAAGGGGUAGACGAUGGCAAAUUGGUUAAUAUUCCAAUACCAACAUUAGUGUGCGAUGGAAGGACGCUUAGGGCUAAGGGGGCUAGCGGAUGGAAGUGCUAGUCUAAGGUCGUAGGAGGUUAUACAGGCAAAUCCGUAUAACAAUACUCCGAGAACUGAAAGGCUUUUUGAAGUCUUCGGAUGGAUAGAAGAACCCCUGAUGCCGUCGAGCCAAGAAAAGUUUCUAAGUUUAGCUAAUGUUGCCCGUACCGUAAACCGACACAGGUGGGUGGGAUGAGUAUUCUAAGGCGCGUGGAAGAACUCUCUUUAAGGAACUCUGCAAAAUAGCACCGUAUCUUCGGUAUAAGGUGUGGUUAGCUUUGUAUUAGGAUUUACUCCGAAAGCAAGGAAACUUACAACAAAGAGUCCCUCCCGACUGUUUACCAAAAACACAGCACUCUGCUAACUCGUAAGAGGAUGUAUAGGGUGUGACGCCUGCCCGGUGCUCGAAGGUUAAUUGAUGGGGUUAGCAUUAGCGAAGCUCUUGAUCGAAGCCCGAGUAAACGGCGGCCGUAACUAUAACGGUCCUAAGGUAGCGAAAUUCCUUGUCGGUUAAAUACCGACCUGCAUGAAUGGCGUAACGAGAUGGGAGCUGUCUCAAAGAGGGAUCCAGUGAAAUUGUAGUGGAGGUGAAAAUUCCUCCUACCCGCGGCAAGACGGAGAGACCCCGUGGACCUUUACUACAGCUUGACACUGCUAUUUGGAUAAGAAUGUGCAGGAUAGGUGGGAGGCUUUGAGUAUAUGACGCCAGUUGUAUAUGAGCCAUUGUUGAGAUACCACUCUUUCUUAUUUGGGUAGCUAACCAGCUUGAGUUAUCCUCAAGUGGGACAAUGUCUGGUGGGUAGUUUGACUGGGGCGGUCGCCUCCCAAAUAAUAACGGAGGCUUACAAAGGUUGGCUCAGAACGGUUGGAAAUCGUUCGUAGAGUAUAAAGGUAUAAGCCAGCUUAACUGCAAGACAUACAAGUCAAGCAGAGACGAAAGUCGGUCUUAGUGAUCCGGUGGUUCUGUGUGGAAGGGCCAUCGCUCAAAGGAUAAAAGGUACCCCGGGGAUAACAGGCUGAUCUCCCCCAAGAGCUCACAUCGACGGGGAGGUUUGGCACCUCGAUGUCGGCUCAUCGCAUCCUGGGGCUGGAGCAGGUCCCAAGGGUAUGGCUGUUCGCCAUUUAAAGCGGUACGCGAGCUGGGUUCAGAACGUCGUGAGACAGUUCGGUCCCUAUCUGCCGUGGGCGUAAGAAGAUUGAAGAGAUUUGACCCUAGUACGAGAGGACCGGGUUGAACAAACCACUGGUGUAGCUGUUGUUCUGCCAAGAGCAUCGCAGCGUAGCUAAGUUUGGAAAGGAUAAACGCUGAAAGCAUCUAAGCGUGAAGCCAACUCUAAGAUGAAUCUUCUCUAAGCUCUCUAGAAGACUACUAGUUUGAUAGGCUGGGUGUGUAAUGGAUGAAAGUCCUUUAGCUGACCAGUACUAAUAGAGCGUUUGGCUUAUCUUUAAUAAAGCAU
rnacentral:rRNA from 1 species